GAGAAGUACGGGCCUGGAGCCGCGGGAAUACGUAGGGGGCAAGAGGUAAGCGGAAUGACUGGGCGGAAAGCGUGCGCAGGCGGUGAUGCAAGACCGAUGUGAAAUCCCCGGGCUUAACCUGGGAACUGCAUUGGGGACUGCAGCGCUGGAGUAUGGCAGAGGGGGGUAGAAUUCCACGUGUAGCAGUGAAAUGCGUAGAGAUGUGGAGGAAUACCGAUGGCGAAGGCAGCCCCCUGGGCCAAUACUGACGCUCAUGCACGAAAGCGUGGGGAGCAAACAGGAUUAGAUACCCCGGUAGUC
rnacentral:rRNA from 1 species